rnacentral:rRNA from 1 species
UAAGGAAUAUUGGUCAAUGGACGCAAGUCUGAACCAGCCAUGCCGCGUGAAGGAUGAAGGCCCUCUGGGUUGUAAACUUCUUUUAUCUGGGAAGAAACCACUUUUUUUCAAGGGUGUUGACGGUACCAGAGGAAUAAGCACCGGCUAACUCCGUGCCAGCAGCCGCGGUAAUACGGAGGGUGCAAGCGUUAUCCGGAUUCACUGGGUUUAAAGGGUGCGUAGGUGGGUUGGUAAGUCAGUGGUGAAAUCUCCGUGCUUAACAUGGAAACUGCCAUUGAUACUACUGAUCUUGAAUUUUCGGGAGGUAAGCGGAAUAUGUCAUGUAGCGGUGAAAUGCUUAGAUAUGACAUAGAACACCAAUUGCGAAGGCAGCUUACUACAGGAAUAUUGACACUGAGGCACGAAAGCGUGGGGAUCAAACAG